UUCUUCCAGAAGGAAUAAUUUCUAUUAAUGUGACCUUGAGAGCAUGUCUUUCUGGAAAGGAUGGAUGAAUCAUUUAGAGAGAAUGGAAAGUUCUUUUCCCACUGAGCGCUAUUGAAGAGAGAAGGCAUUUUCUUCCUGAUGGAACAGUAUCUGUUGAAGUGACCUUGAGAGCAUGUCUUUCUGGAAAAGAUGGAUGAAUCAUUUAGAGAGAAUGAAAAGUUCUUUUCCCACUGAGAGCUAUUGAAGAAAGAAGGCAUCUUCUUCCUGAU
rnacentral:lncRNA from 1 species